rnacentral:lncRNA from 12 species
GAGCUCUGCAGGGAAGGAAUCCUCUGGGAAUUCUGGGUUUCCCUGCAGGUGGAGGCAGCAGAGCCCACUGGGCUCAGCACUGUGGCUGUUUCAGACCAGGUGUGGAUUUUGGUGCCAGCUCUGCUGAAUUCCCUGCUCAGCAGCCUGGCACAGCCCUGGAGCUCCAGCUCUGUUUGUUACCAGGUUUAAGCACUGAAAAACCCAGCAGUGCCUCAUGUUUGAAAAGCAGAUUUUCACUGACUGCAGGACUGGGAAGGACUUUCCAUCCAGUUUCUCCACUAAGACAAAUCCCAA